CCCUGUGGCCUGUGCAGGUUAAUUAUCAUAUUUUGAUGAAAUUUUAGCCAUGCAACAAUCUGCGACGGGCCAUUGACCAGCAGCCGGACCUUGUUGAAUCACGUGAUUCGUUAGCGAUUGUAGCGCCAUUGCCAUACGCCAUUGCGCAGUGUUGUGUAACGUGAUUGUUUUCUUAUCAUUAUUUAUUAUUUUAGUUGACUCAUGAAUGAAAAAAUGGAAAUCAAACAUGAUAAUAGCUCGUUUGUAUAAGAAUGUCACGGCAACCUGUAUUUAAGAAACGCAGUGAACGACAAGAGUAUCGCAAUAUCAGAAAAAAAGUGGUGGACACGAUAGAAUUGUCAGUUUUAGAACAUCCUCCGAGUACAUCUACUUCAUUUUCAAAUAGCGGGUGAUGAAAAAUGGAGAACAGUUUCUACAAUUGAAGAAUUAAAGGAACUGAAUAAAAAAUUAAAUUCGGCCGAGAAUAUGACUGAGUGACUUUGAAAUUAAGACACUACAACUGAUUGGGGGGAAAGAUUUAUCCGACACUUGUAAAAGAGUGUUGGGUAAAAUACUUUCAAACGAAGUUGCUGUGGCAAUGAACUGGUCGGGGCGCAAUCAAAAAGAAGGCUUUGUCCAUUUGAAUAACAUUGUGAACUUAGUUCUUGUCACUGUACGGAAAAACCCCUUGUGCAGAGACACAAAUAAACAAGAAGUGGAAAAUUCCAUAAAAAUUUGGCUACGUAAUGCGAGUGAUCGGGAUGGUGGUCGCAACAAACGUAUGAGAAGAACUGAAUAAAAAUUAUGAUGUUAAUACUUGUUACCUAAUGUGAUAUUUAUUUUUAUUUAUUUAGAAAAUUCUGUUGUUUUGUGCAUAUGUAUGUAUAUAUUUAUUGAAUACUAAAUUUAUAUUUUUAUAUGCGUAA